rnacentral:tRNA from 1 species
UCCUCGUUAGUAUAGUGGUCAGUAUCCCCGCCUGUCACGCGAGAGGCCGGGGUUCGAUUCCCCGACGGGGAG